GACGAACGCUGGCGGCGUGCCUAAUACAUGCAAGUUGAGCGCUGAAGGUUGGUGCUUGUACCUACUAGAUUAGCAGCGAACGGGUGAGUAACGCGUGGGGAAUCUGCCUUUUAGCGGGGGACAACAUUUGGAAACGAAUGCUAAUACCGCAUAAAAUCUUUAAACACAUGUUUUAAGUUUGAAAGAUGCAUUUGCUUCACUCAAUGCUGAUCCCGCGUUGUCUUAACUAAUUGGUGAGGUAAAGGCUCUCCAAGGCGAUGAUACAUAGCCGACCUUGGAGGGGGGACGGCCCCCAUGGGAAUGAGACCACGCCCAAACCCCUACGGGAGGCAGCCGGAGGGAAUCUUCGGCAAUUGACGAAAGUCCGACCGAGCCACGCCGCGUGGGUGAAGAAGGGUCUCGGAUCGUAAAACCCUGUUGGUAGGGAAGAACGUUGGUUAGAGUGGAAAGCGCACCACGUGACGGUACCUAAUCAGAAAGGGACGGCUAACUACGUG
rnacentral:rRNA from 1 species